CGUGGGGCAGCGCCUCGCCCUCACGGCGGACGGUCCCUCGGCUUCUCCGCCAGCCGCUCGUCGGCCUCCCCCGCCCCGCGCUCCCUCCCAGCCCGAGCCCUCCUGCUGCUCCUCCUCCUCAGCCUCCUCCCUCCUCGCGCCGCUGACAGGCAGCCUCCGCGGGGAGAGUGCAGGUACUUUGCCUUCAGAAUAAUUUGCAGGACCCCAGCGAGCUUGCGGAGCGCCCAGAUUUUCUCCUGCCCUCGCCCCCUCCCUCCCGAAAAGAAGAUCCCACUUUUGAAACAAGCAGAACCCCCGAAGCAGAGGCAGCAGACCAAAGCCAGAGCCCGACGGGCGGCUGUGCAUGUGCUGUCCUUUCUUGCAGUUUAUUCUGGGCCUGUAUGGAAUAGAAAGACAAUUCUUUAUUUGACUGGAAGGAGAGAAAAGAGAAGACUCCUCAGGGUUUCCAAGGAAGACUGGAGCGACUGCUUUAUUCACCACCUAAAUUCCAUGCUGCAGUCUAUGGGGUCACAAAGAGUCGGACAUGAUUGAGCAGCUGAACUGAACUAGGUCAGCACAGAGCACUGAGUGAAGUUCCCUGUGGUAUACAGUAGGUUCUCAUUAGUUAUCUACAUUGUAUCAGUCGUGUACAUAUGUCAAUCCCAACUCCCAGUUCAUCGCAACCCCUCUUCCCCUUGAUAUCCAUAUGCUUGUUCUCUAUAUCUGUGUCUCUCUUUCUGCUUUGUAAAUAAG
rnacentral:lncRNA from 1 species